GUUGAAACACCGGUUCCCGUAUACUUACCGAAGUUAAGCAACGUCGAACCUGGUCAGUACCUAGAUGGGUGACCGCUUGAGGAUACCAGGUACUGUAAG